UACGGGGGGAGCAAGCGUUGUUCGGAUUUACUGGGCGUAAAAGGGCGCGUAGGCGGUCAGCACAAGUCAGUUGUGAAAUCUCCGGGCUUAACUCGGAAAGGUCAACUGAUACUGUGCGACUAGAGUGCGGAAGGGGCAACUGGAAUUCUUGGUGUAGCGGUGAAAUGCGUAGAUAUCAAGAGGAACACCUGCGGCGAAGGCGGGUUGCUGGGCCGAACACUGACGCUGAGGCGCGAAAGCCAGGGGAGGCGAAACGGG
rnacentral:rRNA from 1 species